AAACCCUGUUUUAAAAUGAGUUCAUGGGACUGUUUCUGCCCCAGGCAUCAGCUUUUGCACGACGCCUGCGGAGGUGGUAGGACAGGGACCUCUGCAGCUGUGGGUUAGCUUGAAGCCCUCAACACUCCGUCUCCACGUAUUGUCUGCGGAUGCUGAACCACAGCUUCCCUUUUAAAUGACUGCCAUCCAUAGCACUCAGCAUGUGAAGCAGCAGAUGGAGUCGAAUAUUCCCCAUAAGAGUAAGGACGUGUGCCGAGAUUUCUUUCUUACUCCAGUGCGUUUCUUACUAACGCAUAGGAUGGAUCAUGAAACUUGAUGCCUUUGCUCAUCACUGCUCAAGACUAAAUUCAGCCCAAAUUGCUCCUGUUAGAGAAGUGAACUCAGAUGGUUCCUUUAAUGAGGUAGGAAGGGGAACUUCCAUUUUCUGCCUGAGCUCAAUGCAGCCUGCCGUGGGCUGAAGGCUCCGGGUGCUGAGCUGGCGACAGACUUGGAUUCAAGAGAAGCAGUGUCAGCAGAUCUGGAGGCUCAGCCCUUGCAGGGAAACAGAUGCCAUUCAAGCAGAAUGGAAUCCACUCUGAACAAGCUGCCAUCACAGCUCACAUGGCCACCAUCUGCUGUAGUAAAGUCCCCAUCAUGACAUGCUCCCUGCUUCUUCUGGUAACCUUCCCAUCUCUGGAGGCUGGAAGUCCAAGAUCAAGGUGCUGGCUGAUUUGGUUCCUGAUAAGGAACUGAGACUGGAGGGAAAAAAAAAAGUUCUGCCAAAGCUUUAGUGGCUGAAUGAGGUCAGGCACCCAGGUGUUCUGAUUCCCAGUCCAUGGUUAUUUCAAUCACCUCCAUGCUCCUCAGUCUCUCAUGAGCUUAAAUCCUCAAGAGAUGGAUUCAUUCUUGCAUGCUAACAACACGAAAUAUCAGAGCCUACAAAGGGUAA